rnacentral:rRNA from 1 species
GACGAACGCUGGCGGCGUGCUUAACACAUGCAAGUCGAACGGAAAGUCCCCCUUGUGGGGUACUCGAGUGGCGAACGGGUGAGUAACACGUGAGUAACCUACCCUUGACUUUGGGAUAACUUCAGGAAACUGGGUCUAAUACCGGAUAGGAGCUCCUGCUGCAUGGUGGGGGUUGGAAAGUUUCGGCGGUUGGGGAUGGACUCGCGGCUUAUCAGCUUGUUGGUGGGGUAGUGGCUCACCAAGGCUUUGACGGGUAGCCGGCCUGAGAGGGUGACCGGCCACAUUGGGACUGAGAUACGGCCCAGACUCCUACGGGAGGCAGCAGUGGGGAAUAUUGCACAAUGGGCGGAAGCCUGAUGCAGCAACGCCGCGUGCGGGAUGACGGCCUUCGGGUUGUAAACCGCUUUCGCCUGUGACGAAGCGUGAGUGACGGUAAUGGGUAAAGAAGCACCGGCUAACUACGUG